AUGGACGAGGUGCACCGCGCACGCGACGUGGCGGUUGUCGCCCCCAUGCCGCUCGGGGACGAGCUCGAGGGGCUCCGGGCCGAGCUGGCCGCGGCCAAGAGCCGCCUCGCCGCGACGGCCGCCGAGAUACCGCCCCUCAAGUCGCUCAUCGAGUCCACCAACGGCAGCAUCGCCUCGAGGCAGCAGGAGGAGGGCAAGAAGCAGGCGGCCGUGGACGAGCUCCGGCUGCGCGCCGACCAAGGCCGGGACGAGCUCCGGCGGCUCCUGCUGGAGUUGGCCGCGGCCCGCGACGCCAAGGACGCGCUGGAGCGGCGGGUGUCCGUCCGGCGCCAGGCGGCGCGCGCGCUGCAGCUGGCCGAGCGAGCCGUGGCGGCGGAGAUCCACGCGCUGGCGUGGUCCGCGGCCGCGGCGGCCGAGCAGCUGAACGCGCGCUCCGGCGGGGCCGCCGACGACGACGAUGACGCCCACCACGACGUCGUGGCGGUGCCCGCGCGGAGCUACGAGGAGCUGCGGCACAGAGUGGAGGACGAGGAGCGGAAGGCGGACGCGCGCGUGGAGGAGGCCGAGGCGCUGCGGCGCGCAGCGAAGGCGAGGCGGGCCGCGGCCGUGGGGAGGCUGGAGGCGGCGCGCGCCAGGAGGCGCGAGGCCGCCGACAGCCGCCGCCGCGACGUGGAUCACCGGCGCGGCAAGAUGGAGACCGGGAAGGGGCCGGUCAAGAGCAGGAGCUGGCAGGCGUGCCUGGUGGUCAAGAAGAAGCUGGGGGGCUUCUUCUGCAAGGAACGCAAAGCUUCACGCGGUCGUUCUUGA
rnacentral:rRNA from 1 species